GCGUCUUGCGUCGUUUCGCUUUCCGAUAUUCCUGACAAAUUAUCAUAAAUGUGACAUUACAAUGCAAACAAAAUAGAAGUUAAAGGAAUUUGUAACUGGCUGCUACAUCGGAAGGCUCGAUAUAUCUUUAGAAAAUGACGAUAUCUAACAUUUACGGGGUGAAAUAUACAGUAGAGAGAAAAUCGGAUAGCCGCCAUAUUGUCAACAUUGACAUCGAUACAAAGGAAAAGCGUGUGUGUGACGCAUACUGUAAAUGCAAACAAGGAAAUUGUGGAACAUGUUCACACACUCUGGCUGUAAAAGUAGACCUGGGAGGAAAAGUCUUCAACAAGCCUACCGCCACAGGGGACCUAGCAUAAGACCAGAAACCGCCCCCCUCCCACACACACAUGAUAUAUGCCAGUCCAGGCAAUGUCAACCGCAAGAGAAAACCAGUGAUGAUGUGAUGACAAGUUUUACAAUAAUCGGAAAGUGUGGUCUUUUGAAAAGAGUUCUUGAAGUUGUUCAGCAUGUUGUUUUGAUGGAUUCUUGGAAGGGUGUAUCUCUAUGAUGUUAGCUUCAGUUCUGGAGUAUAACACCAGUUGUAGCAUAUUUAAUAUCAUAUUUAUUAAAUACAUUGUUGUUUUGCAAACAUUCCUUAUAUAUUUCUUUGGUGUUUAUGUAUGAUAUUGUAGGUGAAUAUCUCUUUAAUGCAAUGGCAAAUAUAUUUUAAAAUAUAUAGCAUUAGCAGAAGUUAUUUUUCACUGUUAAAGCUGCACUUUCACAGAUUGAUCGCGUUGACAACUUACCCAGGAUUCGAUUGCAUUUAUCAUAUUUUGGCUCGGAGAAGUUUGCUUUGUGAUUUAUAUAUUAGGUCUUAAUUUAAAGAAUGCCAAAAUAAGCCGAUUCUGAGACAAAAAGUGUCAAACUAGAAUUCUGUGAGAGUGCAACUUUAAGAAUACUGUUAAUCGAGUGUGCAUGUGAUCCGGACUCUGAACAUUGGAUGAACUAUCAUUAAUUAUUGUAACUUUACGUAAAUGGCCCAAAAUAUAAGAAUAA